rnacentral:lncRNA from 1 species
CCUCUUUGCAGCUGCUGUCGUGAGAUUGUCAGUGAAAUUGUUCGAAAGAAACGGUCAGAGAUGGAUUUAGAAGCUGAUUUUGAGUUGGAGGAGCUGAAUAAGAUCAAGACUGAGUGCUGUAAUUGGAUUCAAGUGUGCAGCCUUCUCCUUUCAGAGAUCAAAGGCACUCCUGUCUCUUUUCUGGAUUUAGAGGAACUGAGAAAACUCUUUGGAUCAGAGGAAUUGCAACUGAAGAAGCUUAAGGACACGACCAUUUCAGAGGGGCUUAGAGCUGAUGAUGCCAACAGCUACAAGAAACCCAUAACACAGGAAGAAACAUUAGCAGUAAAGGAGGAAAUAGCUCUUACACAGGUGACUACAAGCUGCAAUAUGCCACGUGCCAGCAGGGCCUUUUUUGUUGUUGUUGUUGCUUGGUGCAUGUGAAACACAUCCUCUUAGCUGCCCUGAAUGUCACUAAGCUUGUGUUAUUUCUCCUACUUCUUGUUCAUUUUCUUUCUUAGCAGCAGCCCAGUGCUGGUGCAGAUGAUCUGAGUGAAGGUGAUGAAGCUACUGAAGACAUGAUAAGAUACGUAGGACACGACUCCAACAUCCACCUAAAGUCCCUGAAGUCUGACAUCAUUUCAGUUACAGGGGUAGGAGGCUCUGCUACACUGAGGGCUUUAGCAUGCAUGGCAGAGCUCUGGAGCUGGGUUUUAGCUCUUGUCAGGCAGUGUAACGCUCAUCUCAGACCUGCUGGGGCAUUGCAAGGUGCUGGUGUUCUCUUAUUCCUCUCUUCUUGCCACUAUAAAAUACUCAUUAGCACAGCUAUUGCUGCCUCAGUUUAUCCACCUGACCCAUGUGUUACUGCCCUGUACCAUGGACUCAGGACCAGUAACAGGAUGGGUGUAGUCUGAACCAGGACUACCAGCAGAGACUGGGGGAGUCCUGGCAGCAUUUCCUGGGACGGUGAAAAUGAUUUGGUGCUGGACACACGUAGGAGGAG